AGAAAUUUUAUUUUGGCCAGGAGCUGAAGUUGGUUGUUUAGUAGUAGUAGUUUGAGUAGUGACCGAAGUAGUAGUCUGGUGUGGUAAUUGGGGCAGCUGUGGUCUCUUGUGGAGCUGGGGAAGACGGUGGAGCUGGUGUAGUUGCAGAAGGUGUGGGUGGGGCAGCUGUGGUCUCUGGUGGAGCUGAGGAAGAUGGUGGAGCUUGUGUAGUUGCAGAAGGUGUGGGUGGGGCAGCUGUGGUGUCUUGUGGAGCUGGGGAAUUCACUGGUGCUAAUGUAGCUACAGAAGAGCUUGUGUUAACAUUUUCUCUUGAAGAUAUGGUGGUGGCAUUCUGGGGAAGAAAAGUCACAUUUGGAAGGGUAGUAAUUUUGGUGGCUGGUGAGGAUUUGGGAAUUUGGGGGGGUUAUUAGGUGAAGGUGGAAGCUUAGGCCUACAGCGUUUGUGCAGACAUUUAUAGGACUUUCUAAUGAACGGCUUCUGGUGAGCUAGCAG
rnacentral:lncRNA from 1 species